rnacentral:rRNA from 1 species
AGAGUUUGAUCCUGGCUCAGGAUGAACGCUAGCUACAGGCUUAACACAUGCAAGUCGAGGGGAAACGGACAUCGAAAGCUUGCUUUUGAUGGGCGUCGACCGGCGCACGGGUGAGUAACGCGUAUCCAACCUGCCCACCACUUGGGGAUAACCUUGCGAAAGUAAGACUAAUACCCAAUGACGUCUCUAGAAGACAUCUGAAAGAGAUUAAAGAUCUAUCGGUGAUGGAUGGGGAUGCGUCUGAUUAGCUUGUUGGCGGGGUAACGGCCACAAGGCGACGAUCGAGUAGGGGUUCUGAGAGGAAGGUCCCCCACAUUGGAACUGAGACACGGUCCAAACUCCGUACGGGAGGCA